GGAUGUGACAGUGACUUCACUGUGACAUCUGUCAACCCAUGAAUCACCAGCGUCACUUCAGCUGAUUUGGUUGGCUAGGUGUGUAUCCACUUCCUCCCUCUCUGCUCACUGCUGAAGCUGCUUGCUCUAGAAUAAAGGAGGACCAGUCUUUGCUCAAGAGUAUAUGAGUAACUUGGUCCCUUGCUAGAACCUCCAAAGAAUCAUUCAAGGUCCAUUUUUUAUUUUUAUUUAUGUGUGUCUGUGUAAAUAGGACACACGUUUUCAAUUGCCUACAAAGAUCAGUAGUUACAGUCACAGGCGGUUGUAAACUGC
ensembl:misc_RNA Gm25413 predicted gene, 25413